CUUUCAUGUUAGUCAGUUUUAAUUAGCUCCAAUUAAGUUUCUAUUAUGCAAACAGCUUCAAUACAUUUAUUCAAGGAUCCCAUGUUUAAAAUACUGAUAAACAGAGCCCAACAAAUAUCAGAUUAAGAAAAAUACAGUUCCAGAUUCAGUCUAGCUUGAAAUUGCUGUAAACUAUAUGAGAGCAAACUGUGAAUUUAGGUGAUGUGUCAUGAACACAAAGAGGUUCUGUCCUACAGAGGACUUGUUGUCUACAGGACUACUGAAAGAACCUGUACUAGUAUUAAUCUGAGUUGAUUCAGUAUAGGUGGCUAUUAAAGGCAAUGUGAACCCCCAAACCAGCUGCUACAAAUUGUUGCAUGAUGGUCAUCCUCAGCUGUUGUUCUCUCUCCCUCGAGCCAUGCCCCAAGUUGUAUUGGAGCUGGAGUGGCCAUGUGCUGAGAUGCUGGGAGGAGAGACCCUGCAGCACAGGGAGUACAUGACUCUUCAAAGAAAUUGCCUAAGGAGAAGAAAAGAGACAGCAAAAUACGAUGAUCAGCAAGUUAAUCACAAUAUUAGAAGUGCUCCAGCAUGCAGGUAACCUCUCACUGAGCAGCACCUGAGGCAACACUGGAACAAUUCUGUCAACCACCGAUGAAUUUUAGAAAGUUACAUGAUCAUACCUGCACUGUUUAAAGUUCUCCUGCGUGAUCUGGAACAAGAAAACAUCACAAAUAUCAGCACAGUAUAAUAAAUACCAAAAUAAAUGUGAAUACUAAAAGUCA
rnacentral:lncRNA from 1 species